ACGGGAGGCAGCAGUGGGGAAUAUUGGGCAAUGGGCGAAAGCCUGACCCAGCGACGCCGCGUGAGGGAUGAAGGUCUUCGGAUUGUAAACCUCUGUCGUCAGGGAAGAAGAAUGACGGUACCUGAUGAGAAAGCCACGGCUAACUACGUGCCAGCAGCCGCGGUAAUACGUAGGUGGCAAGCGUUAUCCGGAUUUAUUGGGUUUAAAGGGUGCGCAGGCGGCACGUUAAGUCAGCGGUGAAAUGUCGGGGCUCAACCCGGGCACUGCCGUUGAAACUGGCGAGCUUGAGUACGGAUGAAGUCGGCGGAAUGUGAUGUGUAGCGGUGAAAUGCUUAGAUAUGUCACAGAACACCGAUUGCGAAGGCAGCUGACUAAUCCGCAACUGACGCUCAGGCACGAAAGCGUGGGGAUCGAACAGGAUUAGAUACCCUGGUA
rnacentral:rRNA from 1 species